UACGGAGGGUGCAAGCGUUAUCCGGAUUCACUGGGUUUAAAGGGUGCGUAGGCGGCAGGUAAGUCCGUGGUGAAAUCUCUGAGCUUAACUCAGAAACUGCCCAUUGGGAUACUAUUUGUCCUUGAAUAUUGUUGGAGGCAAGCGGAAUAUGUCAUGUAGCGGUGAAAUGCUUAGAUAUGACAUAGAACACCCAUUGCGAAGGCAGCCUUGCUACACCAAAUGUUGACGCUGAGGCACGAAAGCGUGGGGGAUCAAACAGG
rnacentral:rRNA from 1 species